rnacentral:rRNA from 1 species
GACGGAGGAUGCAAGCGUUAUCCGGAAUGAUUGGGCGUAAAGCGUCCGCAGGUGGCAGUUCAAGUCUGCUGUCAAAGACCGGGGCUUAACUUCGGAAAGGCAGUGGAAACUGAACAGCUAGAGUAUGGUAGGGGCAGAGGGAAUUCCUGGUGUAGCGGUGAAAUGCGUAGAUAUCAAGAGGAACACCUGAGGUGAAGACGGGUUGCUAGGCUGACACUGACGCUGAGGCGCGAAAGCCAGGGGAGCAAACGGG